rnacentral:rRNA from 1 species
ACGGGAGGCAGCAGUGGGGGAUAUUGCACAAUGGGGGAAACCCUGAUGCAGCGACGCCGCGUGAGUGAAGAAGUAUUUCGGUAUGUAAAGCUCUAUCAGCAAGGAAGAAAAUGACGGUACUUGACUAAGAAGCUCCGGCUAAAUACGUGCCAGCAGCCGCGGUAAUACGUAUGGAGCAAGCGUUAUCCGGAUUUACUGGGUGUAAAGGGAGCGUAGACGGCAAAGCAAGUCUGAAGUGAAAUCCCGGGGCUCAACCCCGGAACUGCUUUGGAAACUGUUUAGCUAGAGUGCAGGAGAGGUAAGCGGAAUUCCUAGUGUAGCGGUGAAAUGCGUAGAUAUUAGGAGGAACACCAGUGGCGAAGGCGGCUUACUGGACUGUAACUGACGUUGAGGCUCGAAAGCGUGGGGAGCAAACAGGAUUAGAUACCCUGGUA